rnacentral:ncRNA from 1 species
GUGCAGCCUAAAGUGGAUGACAAACUUCAUCUAAGGCUAAAUAUAGACGCGAAUUCGAUAGCAAACAAGUACUGUGUAGGAAAGUUGCAAAGAACUUCGAAGAGAGUGUUCAAGAGAACGUGAAAUCGCUGGAGUGGAACCUGAGAGAUUUGACGUAGUCAGGUAACUAACAAGGGAGAGAUGAUUACCCGACAUCGGGAAUGGCGGUGCGACAUACCUUUCUGAAUAGGGCCUGGAAUGCCAUUGCCAAAUAUGUCAUUCAUUUCUGCGACGGUUUACGCUACAGGGAGUUAUACACGUUUGUUCAUGUUGAACUGAUCUCAAUUUGGAUCUUGCUUAUUCUUCUCGAAAAUAAGCUGAAAUAGAGCGCGCCGUUGUCACAGCGUCCAGAUGUACACAUACUAUAAUGUAGCACAGGUUUUCAAGAACGACCAACCCACUUCAUUACCGACAAUGCAUUAACAUGCAGACUCGCUCCCAAUAUCAGUAAUGAAUUAGAUCUGUCAAGCAGCAGCAUGGUCAAGUGGCAAGUCUUUAGAUUACAAAACAUACGUCACGGGAUCAGAACCGGCUAUGUGAAGACCUUUUUGCAUUGUAUCACAGAAAGACUGUGACUUUGAACAAGGCUGACCCAUGACGGAGCCCCAUAUAACAUCUCUGUUGUUUAGUGGGAUCAGCUCGAAACAGCUAAUUAUAAGGACCGUGUUAAACUUUCGUUUUACUCGUAAAAGAAAUCUCGAACAAGGAACCUUUAUUUACAAAUAUGAAUAAAUAGUAAAUGUUCACAAAACCUUCGGGUCUUGUCUCUCAUCUACUUCCAGUUUUCAGCACCUAGGUUUAAAAAUUUCCUAGCCUACUCCUGGGACGCAUCUGGAUAUUUGGACAGUCAUCCGGGCAACUUUGAAAGUCCUGUACAUUUCUGCUUUUUAUCGUCUUUAAUCGGAAACUGUGAUCAUGCACACUGCGGAAAGCUCCACUUUACAUAGGUGGAAUACCCGGGCGUAAGCGGUACCAAAAGUGAAGGUCCUCUUUUGACGGGUAUGGGUAAAAGUGAAGGUGGUCCGGUAGACAAAGAGAUGG